rnacentral:miRNA from 1 species
CGGGCGAGGUGGUGGGCU